GACAGAGGGGGCAAGCGUUGCUCGGAAUCACUGGGCGUAAAGGGCGCGUAGGCGGGAUGGCAAGUCGGUCGUGAACUCCUUCGGCUCAACCGAAGAACGUCAGCCGAAACUGCCAUUCUUGAAGGAUGCAGAGGAGACUGGGAUUCCCAAUAUAGCGGUGAAAUGUGUAGAGAUCAAGAGGAACACCGGUGGCGAAGGCGGGUCUCUGGGCAUCUCCUGACGCUGAGGCGCGAAAGCGUAGGGAGCAAACGGG
rnacentral:rRNA from 1 species